rnacentral:rRNA from 1 species
GAUGAACGCUGGCGGCGUGCCUAAUACAUGCAAGUCGAGCGAACAGACGAUGAGCUUGCUCCUUUGACGUUAGCGGCGGACGUGUGAGUAACACGUGGGUAACCUACCUAUAAGACUGGGAUAACUUCGGGAAACCGGAGCUAAUACCGGAUAAUAUUUCGAACCGCAUGGUUCGAUAGUGAAAGAUGGCUUUGCUAUCACUUAUAGAUGGACCUGCGCCGUAUUAGCUAGUUGGUAAGGUAACGGCUUACCAAGGCAACGAUACGUAGCCGACCUGAGAGGGUGAUCGGCCACACUGGAACUGAGACACGGUCCAGACUCCGACGGGAGGCAGCAGUAGGGAAUCUUCCGCAAUGGGCGAAAGCCUGACGGAGCAACGCCGCGUGAGUGAUGAAGGUCUUCGGAUCGUAAAACGCUGUUAUUAGGGAAGAACAAACGUGUAAGUAACUGUGCACGUCCUGACGGUACCUAAUCAGAAAGCCACGGCUAACUACGUG